AUACGGAGGGUGCAAGCGUUACUCGGAAUCACUGGGCGUAAAGGACGCGUAGGCGGAUUGGAAAGUCAGAUGUGAAAUCCUACAGCUUAACUGUAGAACUGCAUUUGAAACUUCUAAUCUAGAGUAUGGGAGGGGGAGAUGGAAUUAGUGGUGUAGGGGUAAAAUCCGUAGAUAUCACUAGGAAUACCGAAAGCGAAGGCGAUCUCCUGGAACAUAACUGACGCUAAGGCGUGAAAGCGUGGGGAGCAAACAGGAUUAGAAACCCUUGUAGUCC
rnacentral:rRNA from 1 species